rnacentral:rRNA from 1 species
GAAUGCGCAGAUAUCAGGAGGAACACCAAUGGGCGAAGGCACAUCUCUGGGCCGUAACUGACGCUGAGGAGCGAAAAGCGUGGGGAGCGAACAGGAUUAGAUACCCUGGUAGUCCACGCCGUAAACGGUGGGUGCUAGCUGUGGGCCACAUUCCACGUGGUCCGUGACGAAGUUAACACAUUAAGCACCCCGCCUGGGGAGUACGGCCGCAAGGCUAAAACUCAAAGGAAUUGACGGGGGCCCGCACAAGCGGCGGAGCAUGCGGAUUAAUUCGAUGCAACGCGAAGAACCUUACCAAGGCUUGACAUAUAGAGGAAAAGUGCAGAAAUGCACUCCCCGCAAGGUCUCUAUACAGGUGGUGCACGGUUGUCGUCAGCUCGUGUCGUGAGAUGUUGGGUUAAGUCCCGCAACGAGCGCAACCCUCGUCCUAUGUUGCCAGCACGUAAUGGUGGGAACUCAUGGGAUACUGCCGGGGUCAACUCGGAGGAAGGUGGGGAUGACGUCAAAUCAUCAUGCCCCUUAUGUCUUGGGCUUCACGCAUGCUACAAUGGCCGGUACAGAGGGCUGCAAUACCGUAAGGUGGAGCGAAUCCCAAAAAGCCGGUCUCAGUUCGGAUUGAGGUCUGCAACUCGACCUCAUGAAGUCGGAGUCGCUAGUAAUCGUAGAUCAGCAACGCUACGGUGAAUACGUUCCCGGGCCUUGUACACACCGCCCGUCAAGUCACGAAAGUCGAUAACACCCGAAGCCGGUGGCCUAACCGCAAGGAGGGAGCCGUCGAAGGUGGGAUUGGUGAUUGGGACUAAGUCGUAACAAGGUA